rnacentral:rRNA from 1 species
AAUCAACGCUGGCGGCGUGCCUCAGACAUGCAAGUCGAACGAUUAAAGCUCUCUUCGGAGAGUGUAUAGAGUGGCGCACGGGUGAGUAACACGUAAGUAAUCUACCCUCGAGUGGGGAAUAACAACCGGAAACGGUUGCUAAUACCGCAUAAUGCAGCGGCACCGCAAGGUGACAGUUGUUAAAGAUUUAUCGCUUGGGGAGGAGCUUGCGGCAGAUUAGCUAGUUGGUAGGGUAACGGCUUACCAAGGCUACGAUCUGUAACCGGUCUAAGAGGACGGUCGGUCACACUGACACUGAAUAACGGGUCAGACUCCUACGGGAGGCAGCAGUCGGGAAUUUUGGGCAAUGGGCGAAAGCCUGACCCAGCAACGCCGCGUGAAGGAUGAAGUAUUUCGGUAUGUAAACUUCGAAAGAAUAGGAAGAAUUAAUGACGGUACUAUUUAUAAGGUCCGGCUAACUACGUG